rnacentral:rRNA from 1 species
GACGAACGCUGGCGGCGUGCUUAACACAUGCAAGUCGAACGGAAAGGCCCUGCUUUUGUGGGGUGCUCGAGUGGCGAACGGGUGAGUAACACGUGAGUAACCUGCCCUUGACUUUGGGAUAACUUCAGGAAACUGGGGCUAAUACAGGAUAGGAGCUCCUGCUGCAUGGGGGGGGUUGGAAAGUUUCGGCGGUUGGGGAUGGACUCGCGGCUUAUCAGCUUGUUGGUGGGGUAGUGGCUUACCAAGGCUUUGACGGGUAGCCGGCCUGAGAGGGUGACCGGCCACAUUGGGACUGAGGUACGGCCCAGACUCCUACGGGCGGCAGCAGUGGGGAAUAUUGCACAAUGGGCGGACGCCUGAUGCAGCAACGCCGCGUGCGGGAUGACGGCCUUCGGGUUGUAAACCGCUUUCGCCUGUGACGAAGCGUGAGUGACGGUAAUGGGUAAAGAAGCACCGGCUAACUACGUG